UACAGAGGUCCCGAGCGUUGUUCGGAUUCAUUGGGCGUAAAGGGUGCGUAGGCGGUCUUCUAAGUUUGAUGUGAAAUCCCGGGGCUCAACCCUGGAAUUGCAUUGAAUACUGGAGGACUAGAGUACUGGAGAGGAAACUGGAAUUUACGGUGUAGCAGUGAAAUGCGUAGAGAUCGUAAGGAAGACCAGUGGCGAAGGCGAGUUUCUGGACAGUGACUGACGCUGAGGCACGAAGGCCAGGGGAGCAAACGGG
rnacentral:rRNA from 1 species